GGGCGAAUGGUUUAGUGGUAUAAUGCAUCCUUAGCAUGGAUGAGGUCCGGGGUUCGAUUCCCCGUUUGUCCA
rnacentral:tRNA from 1 species